UUGGCGGCGUGGUUAAGACAUGCAAGUCGAACGGGACCAGGUUUGUAGCAAUACGGGCUUGGUUCAGUGGCGCACGGGUGCGUAACACGUGAGCAAUCUGCCGGGAAGUGGGGGAUAGCUCGCCGAAAGGCGAAUUAAUACCGCAUGUGGCCAUUCCUUGAUUAAGGGAAAAGCCAAAGCAGCAAUGCGCUUCCUGAUGAGCUCGCGGCCUAUCAGCUAGAUGGCGGGGUAACGGCCCACCAUGGCUAUGACGGGUAGCUGGUCUGAGAGGACGACCAGCCACACUGGAACUGAGAUACGGUCCAGACACCUACGGGUGGCAGCAGUCGAGAAUUUUUCACAAUGGGGGCAACCCUGAUGGAGCGACGCCGCGUGGAGGAUGAAGGCCUUCGGGUUGUAAACUCCUGUCAUGCGGGAACAAGAAAGUGAUAGUACCGCAAGAGGAAGAGACGGCUAACUCUGUGCCAGCAGCCGCGGUAAUACAGAGGUCUCAAGCGUUGUUCGGAUUCAUUGGGCGUAAAGGGUGCGUAGGUGGUGGCGCAAGUCUGGUGUGAAAUCUCGGAGCUCAACUCCGAAAUUGCAUCGGAUACUGCGUGACUCGAGGACUGUAGAGGAGAUCGGAAUUCACGGUGUAGCAAAUCACUAGUGAAUUC
rnacentral:rRNA from 1 species